UCUUCAAUUGAUAUUAAAUGCGAGGACACAUAUGUACUUAAUGGACACAUAAGUGUGAAAUGUGACAAUGGUCAAUGGGAUGAGCUUCCACAAUGCUUUGAGCCUUGUACAAUAUCUACCAGAAGUUUGGAUACAAAUCACAUUGAGAUGAAGCCAUCAGAGAAUCCUCCAGAGAUACUUGAACAUGGCACAGAAGUAAAUGUAAAAUGCAAGGCGAAUUUUAGAUGCCCAGGGUCUUUAACAGCUUUGUGUUAUGAUGGAAUAAUAAAAUAUCCAAGAUGUUUCUCUGGUAGUAUCUGUCGCAUAAACCAACAGAAUCUUGAUGAUAACUUCUUAGAUCUGGAUGAAAGGCAUGAAUAUGAGGUAUUUUAUGAAGGAGGAGAAACUAUCAGCUUUAAAUGUAAACCUGGAUAUAAUAACAGGACUGGACUGA